CACCAGUUAGCCUAGUGGUUAAGGCUACGGAUCGCCAAUCCGGAGACGGCGGGUUCGAUUCCCGUUCGGUUGG
rnacentral:tRNA from 1 species